rnacentral:rRNA from 1 species
CCUACGGGGGGCAGCAGUGGGGAAUAUUGGACAAUGGGCGAAAGCCUGAUCCAGCCAUGCCGCGUGUGUGAAGAAGGCCUUCGGGUUGUAAAGCACUUUCAGUGGGGAAGAAAGCCUUGGGGCUAAUACCCUCGAGGAAGGACAUCACCCACAGAAGAAGCACCGGCUAACUCCGUGCCAGCAGCCGCGGUAAUACGGAGGGUGCGAGCGUUAAUCGGAAUUACUGGGCGUAAAGCGCGCGUAGGCGGUCUGAUAAGCCGGUUGUGAAAGCCCCGGGAUCAACCUGGGAACGGCAUCCGGAACUGUCAGGCUAGAGUGCAGGAGAGGAAGGUAGAAUUCCCGGUGUAGCGGUGAAAUGCGUAGAGAUCGGGAGGAAUACCAGUGGCGAAGGCGGCCUUCUGGACUGACACUGACGCUGAGGUGCGAAAGCGUGGGUAGCAAACAGGAUUAGAUACCCGAGUAGUC